rnacentral:rRNA from 1 species
UACGUAGGCAGCAAGCGUUGUUCGGAAUUACUGGGCGUAAAGAGUGUGUAGGCGGUGUUCUAAGUUUGUCGUGAAAUCUCCCGGCUUAACUGGGAGGUGCGGCGAAAACUGGAAUGCUAGAGGAUGGGAGAGGUAAGCGGAAUUCCUGGUGUAGCGGUGAAAUGCGUAGAUAUCAGGAGGAACACCUGCGGUGUAGACGGCUUUCUGGACCAUUGUUGACGCUGAGACACGAAAGCGUGGGUAGCAAACAGG